rnacentral:rRNA from 1 species
AGGAUCAUUAUCGAAUAAACUUGAACAGGUUGUUUGCUGGCCCUUCCAGGGGGGUAUGUGCACGCUUGUCAUCUUUAUCAUUUUUCCAACUGUGCACACUUUGUAGACCACGGGGAGCAUUUUUUUCCUCUUUGCCUUCAAUUUUGGGGUCUGCUGCCCUUUCAUAAUAAAAACUCAGCUUUCCCUCCUAUUUCCCUCGUCUAUGUCCUUUUCUUCACAUCCUCUACAAAUCAUUCCGAAUCUGCAUAUAAAUAAAAAGUUAAUAAAACAACUUUCACCAACGGAUCUCUUGGCUCUCGCAUCGAUGAAGAACGCAGCGAAAUGCGAUAAGUAAUGUGAAUUGCACAAUUCAGUGAAUCAUCGAAUCUUUGAACGCAUCUUGCGCUCCUUGGUAUUCCAAGGAGCAUCCCUGUUUGAGUCUCAUUUAUAUCUUCUCUCAACCACUUCUUCAUGUCGUGGCAAAAGAGGUUCUGGGAGUCUUAUUUGCCUGCUUCUCAACCAGAAGUCGGCUCUCCUCAAAUACAUUAGUGGUAAUCCGAGCUGCUAUUCUGGCGUGAUAAUAUAUCGUAGCCUUUCCUAUGCUGUCUCACCCACCGCUUCAAAUAAAACACAUCUUUUGACAAUCUUGACCUCAAAUCAGGUAGGACUACCCGCUGAACUUAAGCAUAUCAAUAAGCGGAGGAAAAGAAACUAACAAGGAUUCCCCUAGUAACUGCGAGUGAACUGGGAAGAGCUCAAAUUUGUAAUCUGGCAGCUCUCAGAUCUGUCCGAGUUGUAAUCUAGAGAAGUGUUACCUGUGCUCGACCGUGUACAAGUCUUCUGGAAUGGAGCAUCACAGAGGGUGAGAAUCCCGUCUUCAACACGGACUGCCUGCACAUUAUGGUGCGCUCUCAAAGAGUCGAGUUGUUUGGGAAUGCAGCUCAAAAUGGGUGGUAAAUGCCAUCUAAAGCUAAAUAUUGGCGAGAGACCGAUAGCGAACAAGUACCGUGAGGGAAAGAUGAAAAGAACUUUGGAAAGAGAGUUAAACAGUACGUGAAAUUGCUGAAAGGGAAACGCUUGAAGUCAGUCGCGUCGGCUAGAAAUCAGCCUUGCUUUUGCUUGGUGUACUUUCUUGUCAACGGGUCAGCAUCAAUUUUGACCGCCGGAUAAAGUCGAUGGGAAUGUGGCAUCUUAGGAUGUGUUAUAGCCUGUCGUCGCAUACGGCGGUUGGGAUUGAGGAACUCAGCACGCCCGCAAGGGACGGG